rnacentral:rRNA from 1 species
UACGGAGGGGGCUAGCGUUGUUCGGAAUUACUGGGCGUAAAGCGCACGUAGGCGGCUUUGUAAGUUAGAGGUGAAAGCCCGGGGCUCAACUCCGGAAUUGCCUUUAAGACUGCAUCGCUAGAAUUGUGGAGAGGUAAGUGGAAUUCCGAGUGUAGAGGUGAAAUUCGUAGAUAUUCGGAAGAACACCAGUGGCGAAGGCGACUUACGGGACACAUAUUGACGCUGAGGUGCGAAAGCGUGGGGAGCAAACAGG